GACGAACCGAGCGAACGUUAUUCGGAAUCACUGGGCUUAAAGGGCGCGUAGGCGGGCGGCCAAGUCAGGGGUGAAAGCCCCCAGCUCAACUGGGGAAGUGCCUUUGAUACUGGCCAUCUCGAGGGAGGUAGGGGCGUGCGGAACUUCCGGUGGAGCGGUGAAAUGCGUAGAUAUCGGAAGGAACACCGGUGGCGAAAGCGGCGCGCUGGACCUCUUCUGACGCUGAGGCGCGAAAGCCAGGGGAGCAAACGGG
rnacentral:rRNA from 1 species